rnacentral:ncRNA from 1 species
UAGUUAGCGAUGAUAAAGAAUAGUACAUGUUAGAAUGUUUUUAGAGAGCUUGCGGGUGGUGAAAGCAAGUAACAAACUUUCAUGGAAUGGGCUUUGGAGCUCCUGUCUGAACAUUAACUACAGUAGGAACAGGCGUGCUUGUCCGCACGAUACUUUGGACACCGUAUGAAGUACGGGUAAAGCGAUUCUAUGUACAAGUAGAAUAAUAAGGGUGGCACCGCGGUCCAUUCGUCCCUUCU